rnacentral:tRNA from 1 species
UAGCCUAGUGUUUAAGGCUAUGGAUCGCCAAUCCAGAGACGGCGGGUUCGACUCCCGU